rnacentral:misc_RNA from 1 species
UUUUAAAAUUAAAUAAUUUUUUUAUUAUGAUUAAAGAUCAUAUUAAAUUAAACACACCCGUACAAAAGUAUGAGUUCUUGUUACACAAGAAGAUUUAUUGGAUACUUGCUCAAGAAACUAACAAUUGAGAGAUCAACAAAAUUGAAAGGCCAUUUAUGAGAGAGAGCUUGCCUUCACACAUUUUAACUGUGCAUUAAAUGUAUAAAUUAUUCCAGGUGAUAUGCUUGUUUUCACUGUUCUUCCUCUGUAAUGCAAUCUUUGGAUGCAACUUUCAACCUUGGUCCAAACACCAACUUCAUGGAGAUCUCCUUCUUUCCAGCAUAUGCUCACUGUCAACCCACCGCGUGCCUUUAGUCCUUUCACACAUCCAUUUGCCCAUUUAUCCCAAGGAAGUGCAGGAAGCAAGUACAAAUCCUUCAUGGUACUCUGCAUCAGCAUUUCUGCAACUGCUGCUGUAACACCAAAGUUGGCAUCAAUCUGAAAAGGCGGGUGUGCUGCAAAUAAGUUGCUGUAUAAUCCACCUUCAAAAGCUACCUCAUGAUCUGGAUCCACCAA